GUGCUCACUUUGGCAGCACAUAUACUAAAACUGGAACAAUAUAGAGAAGAUUAACAUGGCCCCUGCACAAGGAUGACACCCAAAAAUAUGGAGAAGUGUUCCAUAUUUUA
rnacentral:snRNA from 1 species